GGAAGGUGCCCUCCCUCACGGAAGGUGCCCUCCCUCACGGAAGGUGCCCUCCCUCACGGAAGGUGCCCUCCCUCACGGAAGGUGCCCUUCCUCACAGCACUGACCACUCUAGAGGACAGAGAAAACAAAGCCAAGCAGACAUUCACAGAUGAACCUGAAAUCAAAACAAACUCCAAGCUUUCCACUAAACUCAACAGUUCAUUCCACUCUGAUCAAGAGGUACAGGUUACAGUCGGGCUUGGAGGAUAGUCAAGAGAGGAACUCAAGGCAGAAACCUGAAGACAAGGCCUAAAGCAGCAACUAUGGAGGUCACCACCGCUUACUGGCUUGCUCCCUAGCUUCUAAUCCUUGCUUUCUUAAACAGUCCAAAACAUCCUUCCUGGGGAUGACACUAACCAGAAAGCUGGGCCCUCAAUUUACAAUCAAGAUAAUGUGUCAAAGAUAUGCCUACAGGCCAAUCUGAUCAAGGUGAAACUCCCUCAAAUAAUUUGGGCUGUAUCACUGUAUCACUGUAUCAAGUUGACAGAUGACAUUAACUAGGAGAGAAACAUUGGCAAAUGAGAAAGAAAAAGACAGACAGACAGACAGACAGACAGACAGACAAAGAAAAAUAAAGGAAAGAAAAAAAUAAAAGACUGAUUGCGUAUGGAAGGGAAGCCUGAAGAACACCUUUCAGACGCCACCUUUGACUGGGAUGAACAGGAUGGGAACUGAAGGCAUGUCUGCUUUUGAUCCCAGAGAUAACCAAAGGAUUGCCAGAGGAAAUCAAAGUCAAUCUCACCAAGAAACCAAAAACUCAGCAGAGAGCUCUUGAAAAGACUGCAGUGGGUAUGGCCAUGGUUCCAUGCAGCUUCUCUGCAGUAUACAGAAGAAACUACCUCAGAGCAGACAUCAGGCCUCUGGUUCGAACAGUCUUCCCAGUCCUCUCCCAUGAUGCUCUAUGAGUGAUAUAUUUACAUAGUAAUAAAAAAUCUAUUUCUAAGUGCAAUAACCCA